rnacentral:rRNA from 1 species
GACGAACGCUGGCGGCGUGCCUAAUACAUGCAAGUAGAACGCUGAAGGAGGAGCUUGCUUCUCCGGAUGAGUUGCGAACGGGUGAGUAACGCGUAGGUAACCUGCCUGGUAGCGGGGGAUAACUAUUGGAAACGAUAGCUAAUACCGCAUAAGAGUAGAUGUCGCAUGACAUUUGCUUAAAAGGUGCAACUGCACCACUACCAGAUGGACCUGCGUUGUAUUAGCUAGUUGGUGAGGUAACGGCUCACCAAGGCAACGAAACAUAGCCGACCUGAGAGGGGUAUCGGCCACACUGGGACUGAGACACGGCCCAGACUCCUACGGGAGGCAGCAGUAGGGAAUCUUCGGCAAUGGACGGAAGUCUGACCGAGCAACGCCGCGUGAGUGAAGAAGGUUUUCGGAUCGUAAAGCUCUGUUGUAAGAGAAGAACGAGUGUGAGAGUGGAAAGUUCACACUGUGACGGUAUCUUACCAGAAAGGGACGGCUAACUACGUG